rnacentral:lncRNA from 1 species
ACAACGCACACCACUAAGCAAAAAGCGACAAGAGUUUGAAAGUGUUCUUUUCCUGCUGCUACUUGACAUGUCUUACAUGAGGAGUAUUUACCUUUGUUUAGCCAGGAGCAGAGAAGCAAUCUGAAGGUACAGGAUGGCUUCACACUUGGCAGCGUGAAUUUCCAGCAGAGCAGGACAGUUCUACGCAUUUACUUGGCAAACAAAGAAGCAGGAGGCACUGUGUGGGGCUGAUUCCUCAAGAGGAAGCAAGCAAGAGGCCACAGGUGACAGAGAGUGCAUACAUGCCCUCACAUUCCUUCAACAUGUGCUGAAUGUGUGUCCCUGCCCUGUGCAAGGUAAUGGAUUUACAGCUGUGAGCAUGGCAACAUCAUUGCACUGGAUAAUGAUGGCUCUGACCCUCCGAAUCUUUCACAAUCUGUCUACAUAUUUCUCUUAAGAACUGUUUCCCUCCCAACUGAAAUCUACUAAACCGCUCUCCGAUUUCCUUAAAAUGAAGACGGGUGUGGCCAUAGCCUCCUCCUGCUGACUCUGCAAAACCCCAACCAGGACUGAGGAGGGCAAGCAAGAGCCUGUGUUUCCAACAGGGUCCAGAUACCACAGUUAUGAAUCUUCCAGCACCCUUGAUCUUCACCCUGAACACUGACAUUUCACACGAUGUUCUUUUAAAUGUUCAAAAACACGGCUGGGGUACUUGAAAGAAUGUCAUACCUCCCCCUAAGAAAGUGUGACAUCAGAUAUGCUUUUGGCACAAUGUUAAAUGAAAACAAAAAAGCAAAAUAAUUAAAUUCUAAACUGCGAUGUAGCAAAGACAGCAUUGGCUUGGAAAUGAAAUGCACCUUGUAAGAAGAUUCGUCUUCAGUAGAAUUUUUCCUUCUUUUUUUUUUUUUUUUGGUCGUUUGUCCUUUUAGGGCCACACCUGCGGCACAUAGAAGUUCCCAGGCUAGGGGUCCAGUUGGAGCUAUUGCUGCCAGCCACAGCAACACCAGGUCCAAGCCAUGUCGGCAACCCACACCAGAACUCACAGCAACACCGGAUCCUCAACCCACUGAGCGAGACCAGGGAUCGAACCCGCAACCUCAUGGUCCCUAGUCGGAUUCAUUUUCAUGCACCAUGGCAGGAACUCCCUCAGUAGAAUUUUAAUUCUUCAUUUCAGUUGUAAAUUGGCAUUAUAUUGACUAUAUUGAAAAUGAAGGUCAUCCCAAGUUUUGUGUCACAUAUGAAAUCUAACUCAAACUUGACUUUUUUCAGAACUGCAUAAAGUGGAUCAUAAUUUUACCAUCCCAGAAAGCAUGAAGUUAAUGCAUUUGACAGGCUUCUUGUGCCAUCUGCAGUAAGGGGUACAUAUGCGUAAUUCCUUAAUUUAAAAAAUUACAAGUGAUAAUAGUACCUUGCUUAUUGCAGCACGUAAGUCCUCAAAUUUCUCCUCACAGAUGAUCAAACCCAGCACCGUGUAUGAUUACUCAAUACCAGCCCACAUCAAUCCCCACCACUGAAAAUCAACUGCAAGUAUUGUCCCGUUUCACAAAUAAAAAUAUCUGCCAAGAAGAUUUAGACAGACAUUUCUCUAUGGAAGCCAUACAGAUGGCCAAAAAAAUACAUAAAAAGAUGCUCAGCAUCACUUAUUAUUAGAGACAUGCAAAUCACUACUAUGAGGUACCACAUUACACGAGCCAGAAUGGCCAUCAUCAAAAGGUCUACAAACAAUAAAUACUGGAGAGGGUGUGGAGAAUAGGGAACCCUCUUACACUGUUGGUGGGAAAUUGGCGAAACCACUAUGGAAAACUGUAUGGAGAUUGACAACCAUUAUGGAAAACUGUAUGGACAUUACUCAAAAAACUAAAAAUAGAAUUACCAUAUGAUCCAACAAGCCCACUACUGGGCAUAUAUCCAGAGAAAACCAAGACUUGAAAAGACACAUGUAAUUCAUUGUUCACUGCAGCACUAUUUGCAAUAGCCAAGACAUGGAAACAACCUAAAUGUCCAUCAACAGAGGAGUGGAUCAAGAAGACGUGGUAUAUAUACACAAUGGAAUAUUACUCAUCCAUUAAAAGGAACGAAAUACCAGCAUUUUUAGCAGCAUGGAUGGACCUAGAAAUUAUGCUAAGUGAAGUCAGUCAGACAAUGAGACACCAGCAUCAAAUGCUUUCACUGAAUGUGGAAUCUGAAAAAAGGACACAAUGAACUUCUUUGCAGAACAGAUACUGACUCACAGACUUUGAAAAACUUAUGGUUUCCAAAGGAGACAAUUUUCGGGGGGGGAGGAUACACUGGGGGUGUGGGAUGGAAAUCCUAUAAAAUUGGAUUGUGACGAUCAUUGUACAACUGUAAAUGUAAUAAGUUCAUUUAAUA